rnacentral:rRNA from 1 species
AUAGAUACCCAGGUAGUCCACGCCGUAAACGAUGAGUGCUAAGUGUUAGAGGGUUUCCGCCCUUUAGUGCUGAAGUUAACGCAUUAAGCACUCCGCCUGGGGAGUACGGCCGCAAGGCUGAAACUCAAAGGAAUUGACGGGGGCCCGCACAAGCGGUGGAGCAUGUGGUUUAAUUCGAAGCAACGCGAAGAACCUUACCAGGUCUUGACAUCCUCUGAUAACCCUAGAGAUAGGGCUUCUCCUUCGGGAGCAGAGUGACAGGUGGUGCAUGGUUGUCGUCAGCUCGUGUCGUGAGAUGUUGGGUUAAGUCCCGCAACGAGCGCAACCCUUGAUCUUAGUUGCCGUCAUUAAGUUGGGCACUCUAAGGUGACUGCCGGUGACAAACCGGAGGAAGGUGGGGAUGACGUCAAAUCAUCAUGCCCCUUAUGACCUGGGCUACACACGUGCUACAAUGGACGGUACAAAGAGCUGCAAGACCGCGAGGUGGAGCUAAUCUCAUAAAACCGUUCUCAGUUCGGA